rnacentral:miRNA from 1 species
ACCUGCCUCCUUCCCGUCCUCUCCCCUGCCUGCCUGUCUCCUCCAGCCAAGAGAACGGGGCGAGCUGCUGCACGUGCUCCCGGCUGGAGGAGGCAGGCAGGGGAGAGGACAGGAAGGAGGCAGGC